rnacentral:lncRNA from 1 species
AUCGGGGCCUGUGAUGGAGUUAGUCUGUGUCUGAGGCAGCCCCGGGGAGAGCGUGACGGUGCGUGUGUGGCACCGCGUGUGCCCGUGUGAGCGCGUGUGGCCGUCAGCAUUCUAUCUGGGGAGAACUGUGUCACAGGCGAAGCCACAGCGCUGCUGUCCUGGGCGGUCCCCGCGGUGCUGUCCCGGGCCGUGGGAGGCAGCGUGUGCCGUUCUUGCGGUGACGCACCCGCUUGUGGUAGAAGCGCGUGGCCGUCUGCAGCCGGGUCUCGUGUUCCCCCCGGGUCCCGGCCCUACCCGCGUGUGUGGGCGGCAGGGCUCCCGCAGUGUCCCCCACCCGGGCUGCAGCGGUGACUCAGGGGCUGGUUUGUCCUCGAGGACCGAGGUGAGCAGGACAGGCGCCUUUCAGAGGACUUUGCGUGGCAGAUGCGGGAACGCAGACUCGGUUCCCGGGGUCUCAGCUGCCCCACCGUUUCUGCCCUGGCCAGAGGGUACCGGGAAGUCGCCCCCACCCGUCGCUGGGUGGGGCGGCCGCUUCCUGAGAGCACAGGAAGGCAGGGAGGGGCUUGGUCCUGGGGCACCCAGGGACACACCCAGAAAUCACCCCUUACUCUCCCAGCCCCUCGCACUGCCGCUGUGGGGCUGUCCCCUGCCCUGUGCUGCGGGCCAAAUGCGUGAAGUGCAGGCUUGCUUGGAGUGCCUCCCUGCGCAGGCUUCCGGGUUCGGGGAGGACCAGGCCCUCGUGCCCUGCACCAACUACAUCGUCCAGCACGGCCGCACGGCAGGGUGCCUCCUGCAGGGCCGGGACGACGUCCUGAACCUCACCAUCCGCGACGGGCCCCGCCCCGUGCUCUCCAUGCGGCGCUGGGUGGCUGAAUACCUGAAGCCCAGCUCCCCGAGAGACCUGCAGUUCCUGUGGGGACAGGAGGCCGUGACCGUGCUGUGCUCCCCGCUGCCCCACCCGGGGCUGCUCUACGAGGUGCAGCACACGACCCCCCACGACACCCAGUGGCAGUCCCAGGUGUCAGAGGUGUGCAACAUAACCAUCAGGGGCGUGGACGUAGAGCAGUGCCACCUCUUCCGGGCCAGGGUGAAGACCAAGGAUUCCUACUACGGCCCCAAAGCCUCCCCGAGCGACUGGUCUCAGGUCACGCACUGGCGGGGAGCCACAACUGAAGAUUCCUGUGUGCAGCCGCUUGUGGGCCUCUGGCCCAGGUGGACGCGGUUCUUCCUGGUCUGCAGCCUGGUGUCGCUGCUGACGGUGGCCCUGCUGCUGGUCGCCCUGUGGAAAGCACAGAGGGUGAAGAGGCUGCUGAUGCCCAGCGUGCCGGACCCCAGGGGCAGCUUCUCCGGGCUCUUCGAGCACCACCAGGGCAACCUCCAGGAGUGGAUCGCCGACACCCAGGACGUGGCCCCGUGGAGGAAGCCGCCCGGCGGGGAGCAGGAGCAGCCGUCUGAGCAGACCCUGGAGGUCCAGCUGUCCAGGGUAGACACAGAGCUGCCGGCCGCCCCACCCACGCGGGAGGAAGAGGCCCCCGCGGGGUCCCCGAGGCUCCCUCCCCGGGACCCCCAGGCCGGCAACCUGGUGUCCCUCGGCGGCUUCACCUUUGUCAUGACUGACAGCGCCUACAUGAAGUUGUGAGCCGGCCCCGCGGCCAGCACGGGACGCCUCACCGGCAGCCAGGAACGGCGGGAAUAUUGCCACGCUCCCGGGACACGACCCUUCUCGGUCUUCAUUUCAAAACGGGAUGUGACUACUUCUCCCCCGGCCUUGGACUUGCGAUCCUCCUGCCUCAGCCUCCCGAGUGGCUGGGGCUACAGAUGUGCGUCACAUCUGUUUUGAACUUUGUCCCCACCUCUACCUGUGGUUGCACAGGGUGUGACCUGGGCAGAAUUCUAAAGGGAUGUGUCCGUCCUGAAUUAUUUUACUUUAUGUUUUUUUGAGACAAGGUCUCACUCUGUAGCCCAGGCUGGCCUUGAACUCACGGCGAUCCUCCUGCCUCAGCCUCCCGAGUGCUGUGAUGACAGGCGUGUCCACUGCAGCCGUCCCAUCCCGACUUCUGAACCGUGCAGCACGACCUUGCUGACCCGAGGGGGUUGCUGCCGGGAGUCUGGGGAGGGGAGGAGGGGGCAGCCUGGUCUGCAGAUUCGUACAAAGCGGUGGCCGGGGCUGGGGCCGCUUCUGGGAACGGGAGGGGAUGGUGCAGACGGCACAGGCGGAGCCGGGGCUGGUGGAGGGGAUUCGAUUUGCACGCGGGUGUGGGCGGCCGUGUCGGGAGCUCCCUGCCCCCCCCCCAGGGUUCACAGCACACACCGGGUGCAAGGAGAACGUUGGACCGCACACCGGAGCAGAGUCAGAACGCGAAUCCACUGUGUCCCGGGCAAAGCGGGGGACUCACGACUCUGACCCCAAACUCACUGGGCCCGGAUCCUUCCCUAGCUCUUUUGUAUUUUGUAUUUUGUAUUUUUUUAAAUUUAAUUUUUUCUUUUUUUGAGACAGGGUCUCCCUAUGCGGUUCAGGCUGGCCUUGAGCUCACUUUGUAGCCCAGGCUGGUUUCGAACUUGCAACGAUCCUCCUGCCUCAGCCUCCUGAGUGCUGGUAUUACAGGCUUGCACCACCAUGCCCGGCUUGUUCAUAUUAAUUCUGGGUUUUGAGACAGGGUCUUGCUAUGUCCAUCAACUUCCCAGGCUGAGCUCCAACUUGGGACCCUCCUGCCUCAGCCUCCCGAGGAGCUGGGUGGCCAGCGCACGCCCCCACACACAGCCUCCACACUCCGCAGAAGGCAAAGGCGGGUUUCUCCCCGGGACGGAAACCACGGCUCAAACUCUGCCCUCGAGCGCCCCUGCCUUCUCACUAACCAACCGGGGCACUGGGGCUUGAACCUGGGGUGUCAGCACCAAGCGCCGUCCCCGACCCUUUUUUAUGUUUAAUUUUGAGGCAGGGUCUCGCUAAGUCACGCAGGUGCCCAGGCUGGGCUGGACCUGGGGAUCCCCCUGCCUCAGCCUCCCGGGGUGGUGAGAUUAUAGGUCUGCACCAACCGUAUCUUGGGGUCUGAAGGCUGGAACUGGGGAUCCCUCUGUGCAGACCCCGGGGGGCUUGCUGAGCGGCACACAGGGGCCCCGAGCCAGACACACAUCUGGUUGUGCAACACCAACGGCCUCCCGGGUCUGACGUCCUGCGGUUUCCUGUCUGCCUCCGCCGAGCGCCCGGCAACAAAGCCCCAUUGUGCGCUCGGCACCACCGCCCCGGGCAUGUGCGGAGAGGAACUGAGAGCCUCCUCGGCCUUCUGCGCUGCUCUGGGACUCCAGGCGGCCUGAGUGUGAGGCCCCACCCCUCGGGAGGCUGAGGCGGGGGCAUCUCUGAGAGUUGGAGUUGCCCUGGACAGCUGGCCCACCUAGCGAGACCUUGUCUCAAAAUAAAACACGAAAAACGCUUCUCUGAACGGGAAAGACUCACGGCUUGGGGCCAAAUCCGGGCAUCGCACCCCAAAAUUGUCUUUGCAUGACCUGUGGAGAUCAGGCAUUUUAGGAAAACUGAGGCAAGGAAGAAAUCCACCGCUGGGAUUUCUGUGCCGGCUCCUCCCUGGCAUCCCCACACCCCCACUCUUACCCCAA